AGAUUAAGUUAUUAAGGGCGCACGGUGGAUGCCUUGGCACUAGAAGCCGAUGAAGGACGUUACUAACAACGAUAUGCUUUGGGGAGCUGUAAGUAAGCUUUGAUCCAGAGAUUUCCGAAUGGGGAAACCCAGCAUGAGUUAUGUCAUGUUAUCGAUAUGUGAAUACAUAGCAUAUCAGAAGGCACACCCGGAGAACUGAAACAUCUUAGUACCCGGAGGAAGAGAAAGAAAAUUCGAUUCCCUUAGUAGCGGCGAGCGAAACGGGAAGAGCCCAAACCAACAAGCUUGCUUGUUGGGGUUGUAGGACACUCUAUACGGAGUUACAAAGGACGACAUUAGACGAAUCAUCUGGAAAGAUGAAUCAAAGAAGGUAAUAAUCCUGU
rnacentral:rRNA from 1 species